rnacentral:lncRNA from 1 species
GACAUAUUAAUUAAUAACUUCAUAAACAAAAUUUGAGUAUCAGCAUAAUUAUUUGUGUCUUUUAAAAUUAGGUUUGAAAAGCAUCCAUUAUAUGUGUUAAAUGAACUCAAACUUUUCACAUUUUGUUUCCUAAUUUCAAGCACUCUUUGGCAAACUAAUCAGUAAGAGUUUUGGUCAUAAAUUAAAGUGUAGGUAAACUGAUAGUUGCUUCAUUUAUAAACUAACCCCAUUUCCUAAUCUUAACAAUAUCCUGUGGGUUGACAAGAAUCCACGCCUAAAAACUAUCUAAGCUGAUAAAAAUGGGUAUUCAAUAGGUUUUAUGUACUAACUACAACCUGACAAAC